rnacentral:lncRNA from 1 species
GCUGGGUUUGGCAGCAGGUGCCUGUAAUCCCAGCUACUCAGGAGGCUGAGGCAAGAGAAUUGCUUGAGCCCGGGAGGUGGAGGCUGCAGUGAGCUGAGAUUGUGCCGUUGCACUCCAGCCCAGGUGACAGAGCAAGACUCCAUCUCAAAAAAAAAAAAAAAUCCAUCUCAAAAAAAAAAAAAAGAAAGAAAGAAAGGAGUGAUUUAGGGGAGUCUUCAAAGGUGUACAUAACAGGAGCACCUAAUUCAAUUAAAAAGUCAGGGAAGGCUUUUCAUAGGCGGUGACAGUUAGCUGAGACCCAAAAGAUGAAUAGAUGUUAGCUCAGCAAAGAGUAGAGGGACCACUAUUCCAUCUGCAAAGGAAGAGCUUGGUGUCAUUAAGCAACCGAAAGACAGGGAAAGAAGCUGGUAUUAGAGUCUUCUGGGAAAUCCUGGGGAUGUGUUAGAAUCCCCAUCGUGACUUAUCUAGAUUCUGAUAGAACAGACCACAGGUCAGAAAACUACAGGCUACAGGCCAAAUACGUCCUGCCACUUGUUUUUAUAAAUAAAGUUUUAUUGGAACACAGCCACACCCAUUCACUUACCUAUUGUCCACAGCUAUUUUCCUACUGUAGUGACAGAGGUGAGUAGUGGUGCCACAGACCGUAUGGCCUGCAAAGGCUAAGUACUCACUACCUGGUUAUUUGUAGAAAAAGUUUGCCAACACUUGUUCUAGAGCUGCCCAAUAGCAAGUGGGAAGUUUGGGAUUUGGCCCAGAAACCAGCCCGCAGCUCAGGGGCCUGAGAAUUGGAAGAUCCAAAGACAGUGACCAAAACUAAACCUAAGGUGGCAAGUGACAAUCCUAGGUCUGAUCCCAGCUUCUUUGGUUCCUGGGGCUGUGCUCUUGACCACCAAGCCAGACUGGUUGUUGAGACUGGCCUGCAAGGAAGAACAGAGAGGGGACCAGAGUCAGCCAGAUGCCAGCAGGCAGGGGCUCCCAGAGACACAGGGACAUUUCAUGGGGUAGCCGUGUCCUUACCUGUCAUGAGACCAGGCAGACGAAGCAGGAGGCUGCCCACCAAGAUGGCGCUCAGACCAGUGACCAUCUUUUCCUUCACCUCUUGGCUCUGGAACACCCUUCCUCCCUUACCUGCCCUCAUUUCUUCACCAGCUUGGCUCUUAUUCAUCCAUUAAAGUAGUGCUUCUCAAACUUGGAUGUGCACUUGGGUCACCUGGGGACCUUAUUAAAUUGUAGAUUCUAUUUCAGGAGGUCUGGGGUGAGGCCUAAGAGCCUGCAUUUCUAACCAGCUCCCAGGCGAUGCUGAUGGUGCUGGUUCAUGGCUCACACUUUGGGUGGCUGGAAAGAUAACUUCUCUUAGACUUUCUUGAUCAGUUUCCCACUCCACAUCCCAUGCCUCAAUUCUGGGGCCCACUCACAUUUACCUCUAGCAGAGUUCUACCACACUGUAUUAUAGUAGUUUGCUUAGUGAUGGUCUUCCUCAUUGGGUAGCAAGCUUCCUGAUGAAGGGAUGAGGUCUUAGUUAUCUUAGUACCACCAGGGGGUCUGCAGCAGGAUAUGGACAGGCUUGGUUAGCCCUGGCCAUACACUAAGUUGCUGUCCAUUGGUCCAGCAUCCAUCAUGCCCUUGUCCAUGUAAAACAAACAUGACGGCCACCCCCUACAUCUGUGUACUCCAAUCACCCCCCAUCUUCCCAAAAGUUCCAUAGGGAAACCAGCAUUUCCCUCCAGGGGAUGUUUCUGGGGCUCAGGGACUGGUGGGAGUCAGGAGGGGAAAGGAGGGCCCUUUGGGAAGCAAUGGCCUCACAACUGGAGGUGGCAAACUAAGUCACAAAAAUCAGGCAGCGGGUGAGUGAUGAUUGGAUGCCCUUUCUUGGUCCUUGGUAGAUGUGGAUGUAUGUGCUCCAAGGAAUCCUCUUCUGAGUGACCUGUGCCCAGCCCAUCAAGAUGGAAUAUAAAAGGUGGCUAUAAAUCUCUGUCCACAUGCCACGCAUACGAUGUAAUCUUGGCUCACUUCAACCUCCACCUCCCGGGUUCAAGUGAUUCUCAUGUAGCUGGGAU